rnacentral:rRNA from 1 species
AUUGAACGCUGGCGGCAGGCUUAGCACAUGCAAGUCGAGCGGAGAUGAGGUGCUUGCACCUUAUCUUAGCGGCGGACGGGUGAGUAAUGCUUAGGAAUCUGCCUAUUAGUGGGGGACAACAUUCCGAAAGGAAUGCUAAUACCGCAUACGUCCUACGGGAGAAAGCAGGGGAUCUUCGGACCUUGCGCUAAUAGAUGAGCCUAAGUCGGAUUAGCUAGUUGGUUGGGGUAAAGGCCUACCAAGGCGACGAUCUGUAGCGGGUCUGAGAGGAUGAUCCGCCACACUGGGACUGAGACACGGCCCAGACUCCUACGGGAGGCAGCAGUGGGGAAUAUUGGACAAUGGGGGGAACCCUGAUCCAGCCAUGCCGCGUGUGUGAAGAAGGCCUUAUGGUUGUAAAGCACUUUAAGCGAGGAGGAGGCUACUGAGACUAAUACUCUUGGAUAGUGGACGUUACUCGCAGAAUAAGCACCGGCUAACUCUGUGCCAGCAGCCGCAGUAACAC